rnacentral:rRNA from 1 species
GUGCCAGCAGCCGCGGUAAUACGAAGGGGGCUAGCGUUGCUCGGAAUCACUGGGCGUAAAGGGUGCGUAGGCGGGGUCUUUAAGUCAGGGGUGAAAUCCUGGAGCUCAACUCCAGAACUGCCUUUGAUACUGAAGAUCUUGAGUUCGGGAGAGGUGAGUGGAACUGCGAGUGUAGAGGUGAAAUUCGUAGAUAUUCGCAAGAACACCAGUGGCGAAGGCGGCUCACUGGCCCGAUACUGACGCUGAGGCACGAAAGCGUGGGGAGCAAACAGGAUUAGAUACCCUGGUAGUCC